rnacentral:snoRNA from 1 species
AAUUCAUGAUUUAGGCAUUGAGCUAGCUUAUCAUUAAACCUCUCCCAAGCUUCAAACAACGACUCUCCAUUCAUGUGUCAAAAAUUCAUAAUCUCGUCUCGCUUUUGAAGCU